CAAACAUGCAUCAUUACAGCCCUGUAUUGGAGUGUGUGAUUGUAUAUUGCUUGUGUAGAGUGUCAAGCGUGCGUGCUACACAUUGUGCCUGGAGAGAUUGAUGUUUUGUCAUCCACCUGCUUCUAAGCUGUAAAAGCAAGCGCAGCAAAGGCAAACCUACCCAGCUUCAAAAUCCAAACAAAGAAAUCUUAGUGGGCUGUUUACAUAUCUGUGCAAGGAUAUCUGUGCUUGUGUUGACGGGGUGCUAGAGUGGCUGAGAGAUCAGUCCCCGCACAAUGGACGAGUGGGAAAUCAAAGACUGGAAUGCUGGGAGAACGCUGGAGAAAUUGACGAAGGGGUGAGCUCUGGAAAGGAGGACAGAUACUUCCUGUUCCUUCUGGAGUGACCCGCAGGUCUGAGGAGGAGUGAGGGAGAGGAAGGUGGAGAAAUUCAUGGGUUGCAUAUUUCUGAAGAUGAGACCCUACUGCUGCAGAAGACUCGUCCACAUUCACGCAUCGACUACUUCUAACCUUCUUCUUUGAAAAGCCGGGACGAGAGCAUCGCUCACAGAUUUAUGAAGAAUCCAGAAAUGUGUCUCAUCAUUAUGAAGGAAGGGCCAGCCUGUGGGUUUGUGGGGCCUCAAGUCAGAUCAUCGAAAGAAUGGCCAUAACAUAAUAACAUCUAUAGAACCUCUGCAAUGUGAUGAGUAGUUUUCUUCUUUUUAAGAUAAAACACUAGAAAUAAUCACAGUGUACAUACAUUUCUGUAAAAAGCUAUUUCUGC
ensembl:lncRNA